CAGUAGCCACGGUAAUACGAAGGGUGCAAGCGUUACUCGGAAUUACUGGGCGUAAAGCGUGCGUAGGUGGUGGUUUAAGUCCGUUGUGAAAGCCCUGGGCUCAACCUGGGAAUUGCAGUGGAUACUGGGUCACUAGAGUGUGGUAGAGGAUAGUGGAAUUUCCGGUGUAGCAGUGAAAUGCGUAGAGAUCGGAAGGAACAUCUGUGGCGAAGGCGACUAUCUGGGCCAACACUGACACUGAGGCACGAAAGCGUGGGGAGCAAACAGGAUUAGAUACCCCAGUAGUCCCUGUCUCUUAUAU
rnacentral:rRNA from 1 species